rnacentral:rRNA from 1 species
ACUCCUACGGGAGGCAGCAGUGGGGAAUAUUGCACAAUGGGCGCAAGCCUGAUGCAGCCAUGCCGCGUGUAUGAAGAAGGCCUUCGGGUUGUAAAGUACUUUCAGCAGUGAGGAAGGUGGGUAUGUUAAUAGCAUAUUCAUUUGUACGUUAGCUGCAGAAGAAGCACCGGCUAACUCCGUGCCAGCAGCCGCGGUAAUACGGAGGGUGCGAGCGUUAAUCGGAAUUACUGGGCGUAAAGCGCAUGCAGGUGGUUUGUUAAGUCAGAUGUGAAAGCCCGGGGCUCAACCUCGGAAUUGCAUUUGAAACUGGCAAACUAGAGUACCGUAGAGGGUAGGGU